ensembl:lncRNA
GUAAUGGAAACAGAGGAGAGUUUAUUAUUUAUAAUUCAUUAUUAUUUUGCUAGAAAAAUCACUGAAAAGGUCAGAUACACAGCUCUUGACCAAUUCCCUGAAUAACACUGCUGAACUAGACCACUAAUGUAGCUUCUGAUUCUGUGAUGUUUUGGCUGCAACAGAAUUCAAGAGAGAGAAGACAUACAUAUAUUUAUGACUAAUUCACGUUGUUGUACGGCAGAAACCAACACAAUAUUGUAAAGCAAUUAUCCUCCAAUUAAAAAUAAAUGUUAAAAUGGAAAAAAAAAAAAAAAAGGAAGAAAGAAAUCCGUUUCCAGCAGGGCUUGGGUUUGCCCUCACAAAUAAAGGCAUCUCUACAGAGCUGUAGUCAACAGUAUCCUCCUAGGCCCAGCCCCGUAUCCCAGAGUCAAGAAAUUGCUUAUAGCAAAGUAUACAGAACAGGAGAUAUUGAGCAGAAAGUGGGAGGAAGUUACAGAGAAGAUGACAAUUGCUUCUUACUGCCAGGGCCUUCUUCAUGUUGAUAUGGGAUAUUCGUUGAAGAGGAAACACCAAGAGGGCAGACAGCUGCAGGCCAAGGAACUGAAUCCAUCUGGAAAGCUGCAGGAGACAGUACAGGAAGGGCAAAGGACCUGGCAACCUUGGAGAAGGUUGAGUUCUGACUGUUCAGGAGAGCGAAUAGAGAGUUGGGAGGGGAAGGUAAUGCUGUAACCCGUGAAUACUGGGAAUGUUUGCCAGGUGCCCUACAAUGUGGUCAUCCCAGUUUGCUGUCUCUUCAAAAUACUUCAGUAAAUGCAUCC